GGAUUGAUUUGCCAUGUUAUAGGUUCAGAGAAUAAUGUCCGAUCUUCACAUGGAAAAAUAAGCUCAAUUAAGAAGAGCGAUAUUCCAUAUCUAAGAAAUGAAAUCGUAGAUUCAUGCGUACUAUAAUGUCUAUAAAACUAAAAAUAGGAAAAAGAUAAAAAUGUAUAACAAAAGUAUGAAAUAUAUAGGAGUAGAUAAAUUAAAUUAUAAAAAACUUAUAUUUUGAUAAAUGUUCAGCAGGGAAAAAAUGUUGAAUGUGUUUUAGGUACAAGUCCGAUGCAUACAUGCAGUUAACACUUAUAUUUUGUUAUUAUGGACAGUUUGCAUGAACACUUGAUUGUACACCUAUAUAUCAAUUCUACAUGAUUGUUGUUUGCUUGAGAUUAUUUCCCCAAAUAUUGAUAUGAUUCCAGAUUCAUCAUGACAUGCCAUAUGUUUUUUUGGAUUUGAUGCUUACAUGUAGAUGGAUAAGAAGACCAAGGUUAUAGUUUGUGUUGCUGCUGCACAUAUAUUACUGUCAAUGAUGGCUAUGAUUAUUCAUUCUAGAAAAAGAAAACGAAAUGCAAGGAGGACUGGGAUUACCUAUGCACCAAUGCAUGAAAGGGAUAGAACUAGAAUUGAAUAUCUCAACACAAAGAUUUGGAGGGAUGACACAUGUAUAAACAUGAUUAGAAUGAAAAGGGCUUGUUUCUUUCACCUAACUAAACAUUUUAGAGAGCGUGGUUUACUUAAGGACACUAUCCAUAUGUGUGUUGAACAACAAGUGGCCAUGUUUCUAAAUACAGUUGGGCAUAACCUUAGAAAUAGGUUGAUUGGCACGAAUUUUGGUAGAUCUGGGGAAACAGUUAGUCGAUGUUUCAAUAAAGUUCUUCGUGCAAUUGGUGAGCUACGUGGGGAACUAAUUAGGCCACCUUCAUUGGACACUCCAACCAAAAUAGCAGGGAACUACAGAUGGGAUCCGUAUUUUAAGGAUUGUAUUGGAGCUAUUGAUGGUACACAUGUAAGAGCCACUGUUCCUAGAGAUAUGGAGCAUGCCUUUCGUGGUAGGAAGUCCUAUGCGACUCAAAAUGUAAUGGCGGCUGUAGAUUUUGAUCUACGCUUCACUUAUGUGUUGGCUGGUUGGGAGGG